UCGCUUAAUUAUAUAUAUCUCCCUUAUUUAGAAAGGAGAGUUGGAGAUGACUAACACAGCAUCAGAUAAUUGUACCAAAAGUAACAUCAAUUGUACUAUAAAUUUGAAUUCAUUUUAUUUCUUUAUUUUCUUAGUAAACCACGUGGGUCCUUUUUUGAGAGACACAUAUUUUUUUUUGUCUUUGUGGGAGACAACUGGCCUCCACAUUCAUUUUCACCUGCACUCCCCCAAAUACUCCUCCAUUUUUCUUUAAUUUCUCUCUUUCUCUCACUACUAAGCCAUAUCUUUUCUCUCCAUGGUUGAUUCAUUCCUAUGCUCCGUGGUUGAAGUUGAUGGAUGCUACAAUGAGAGAUUAUGAAUGAACUAUUCAAAGUUACUGCAUAAGUUCUAUAACUCGGUCCUCGCAUAGCAUUCACCAAUCCAAGAGCUAUAUUAUUUAGCACUACUAGACAAUAUUAGGAAGUAAAACUACUGAAAAACUUCAGUUGUUAGUUGUUGCGUGUUUAUUCCGAGAUGUCAAUAUGGGGAAAAAUGUUCUUUCGAUAUGGAUUUGAAGGUUACCAGAAUAUUUCAGCAGGGUAUCUUUUAGGUGUUGGCAAACCCUAUUAUAUUUUUUCACUUCUAAGUUUCAUUUCUCCACAAGUCUUCUUCCAGAUCAGUUGCUUGAUAAAAGAGGUAAUGAAAUCAGCAUAUGACUUGGUUUUCUGCAAGGAAAAUGUGAUCUAAUAUGUAGGUACCUAAGUCUUCCUAUGUACUAGAACUUUAAACGUCAGAAAUGUAAACCAUAAGUCAAGUCUUUCAAUGGAGCUCUUAAUUUGGUUUUUUCAAACUAAUACCAAUUCUAUCUCAUUUCAGGUUAGUGCAUAACCAUGUCAUAUACUUGGUCUCUUGGUUACUGCUUUAGCAACUAGCCAUUAGUAUUCACGUGGUUCUUUCAUGAUAUAGAGGAGGCAAAGCACACGGUAACUGGUGAAGAUAGGAGUUAAGGAGAGAGAACACAAUCCCAAAUUGCCUUUUCUUACCACGCAAAAACAGGGGGCAAUAACAUUUAUUUAGAGAUGAGUAUUAGAAAAGGCUAUCUGUAACUGUAAUGUUUUAUUGUUGGGAUGAUCUUAGGCACUUAUUAUAAUUCAAUUUAAAGAAUCCUGAUUAGGAGCAUAUUAUAAUUUGUACAUAAA